CAACAUCUUGAAGAGAAGCGGCUCUGUCUUUAAGACUUAUCUACAUAAUCAGGAAAAAUAAGAGCUCUGGGAAGGCUGAAGAUGAAGCCAGGAACGGGAAACAGCAGCAGAGCACACACAAACACGAGGCCACCUGGCUUCUUGCCAUCAUACAUGACAUUCAAUUAUUUGAGUACUUUUUCAUGAGACUUUUCCCUCCACCCAGCUUUUCCUCCCCUCUCCAGACCCUUGCUUUUCUACAUUUGGCAUAGUUCAUCUGAUUCAGCACGCAUUUUUCCUCGCUGUACUCAGUAAUAGGUCUCAAACUCUCACCACAAAAAGAAAGUGCUAAGAUUAAAGUUCUUGCAAUACUAUCUUGACAUUCCCAGUAUUACUCUAUAAGUGUGACGUUUCUUUCAAUAAGCUGAGAAGGAAAGGAACUAGAAUGGUCUACAUACACAUUGCUUCAACUGCUGCUUUGAUGUAUGUACUCAAAAUAUUUUUCAUUUCCCAGAAUAUAUUCUCAUGGGGGGGGGGACAUUAACUGCAGCUUUUAGGCCGUGAGAAUUUCUUUUAAAUAUAAAAUAAGUUAAAAAAACAAUAAAAUAAGUCAAGCUGAC
rnacentral:lncRNA from 1 species